CCUACGGGGGGCAGCAGUGGGGAAUAUUGCACAAUGGGGGAAACCCUGAUGCAGCGACGCCGCGUGAGUGAAGAAGUAUCUCGGUACGUAAAGCUCUAUCAGCAGGGAAGAAAAUGACGGUACCUGACUAAGAAGCCCCUGCCAAAUACGUGCCAGCAGCCGCGGUAAUACUUAGGGGGCAAGCGUUAGCCGGAUUUACGGGGGGGAAAGGGAGCGUAGACGGCAGCACAAGUCUGGAGUGAAAUCCCGGGGCUUAACCCCGGAACUGCUUUGGAAACUGUGCGUCUGGAGUGCAGGAGGGGUAAGCGGAAUUCCUAGUGUAGCGGUGAAAUGCGUAGAUAUUAGGAGGAACACCAGUGGCGAAGGCGGCUUACUGGACUGUAACUGACGUUGAGGCUCGAAAGCGUGGGGAGCAAACAGGAUUAGAUACCCCUGUAGUC
rnacentral:rRNA from 1 species